rnacentral:rRNA from 1 species
GACGAACGCUGGCGGCAUGCCUAACACAUGCAAGUCGAACGAGACCUUCGGGUCUAGGGGCGCACGGGUGCGUAACGCGUGGGAACCUGCCCUUAGGUUCGGAAUAACUCCCCGAAAGGGGUGCUAAUACCGGAUAAUGUCUUCGGACCAAAGAUUUAUUGCCUUUGGAUGGGCCCGCGUUGGAUUAGCUAGUUGGUAGGGUAAAAGCCUACCAAGGCGACGAUCCAUAGCUGGUCUGAGAGGAUGAUCAGCCACACUGGGACUGAGACACGGCCCAGACUCCUACGGGAGGCAGCAGUGGGGAAUAUUGGACAAUGGGCGAAAGCCUGAUCCAGCAAUGCCGGGUGAGUGAUGAAGGCCUUAGGGUUGUAAAGCUCUUUUACCCGGGAUGAUAAUGACAGUACCGGGAGAAUAAGCUCCGGCUAACUACGUG